GGAAGCGCACUUGGCCACUUGGGA
rnacentral:siRNA from 1 species